AUUUAAAUAGUUUAAAAAAAAUAAUGAUUUGUGGUGUCAUAGAUAUAGGUUGUCUAUUUUAAAUC
rnacentral:tRNA from 1 species